ACGCUCGACACCUACGGGGGCAGCAGUGGGGAAUAUUGCACAAUGGGGGAAACCCUGAUGCAGCGACGCCGCGUGAGCGAAGAAGUAUUUCGGUAUGUAAAGCUCUAUCAGCAGGGAAGAAACUGACGGUACCUGACUAAGAAGCACCGGCUAAAUACGUGCCAGCAGCCGACGGUAAUCUGAGGCCGGGCGUGGACGAAGGC
rnacentral:rRNA from 1 species